CUAGAGCAGUCUCAGCCUGUGGCUGUUGUUCUCAAUCCAGCUCAGAAACUGGCUCAAACCGCCCUGAACCGGAUUUGGUGGCAGUUGAGACACAGUUUCUGCUCUUUGUUAGGGCGGAACCGGCCUCAUUCUGUGCGUUUCUCUCCCUCCCUUUAGCCCAGUGCCGUACAGCAAUCUCCCAUCACCACCCCCCAUCCCCUACCCCACUUUGCCUUUUUUCUCUCUUAUAAAAAAAAACCCAAAACCAUCAAGUGGAUUAAAUUUUUUUAAUGGAUGUAAGCCUUUUGGCUUUAUGAUAUUAGUUAUUUCUGAGUUGUUAUCUAACCAGUUAACAUGGUGCCCCUCAAAUAAUGCUCAGGCAAACCCAGGAAUAACUACGUUUCCCAACACCAACUUAAGGUUUUGGGUCGAGGGCAUUGCUCAUUUCCCUUUUGUUAACUUUAAGGUAAAAUAAAUUUGUUAACUUUUGUCAACACACAGAGUUCGUGAACAGAGCCAUGCCUGUGAGAGCCGAAGGACCCAGAUGGGUUUGGUUUUCCAGCUGUAAUUUUAACCCUGGAUCAGAUGGUGUGAACUGUUGUCCCCUUGAAAAUGCCCAGUUGUGUGUGUAUGCAGUUAUCUCAAGAAAAAGAAUGUCUCGCUUCCUCUCACUCUUUUGUCUCUGAUAAGCAUUUCUGAGAUUUUUGAGAACCCAGGAAGAGACACGAAUAAGCAACCAUGAUUUGGGCGUGGCUCCAUGUGCUGCUUGACGGCUCCCCGUCUGCCCUCUGCUGGCCAGUUCAGUGAGUCAUCACUUCCUCAGGAAAUCUUAAUAUAAAACCACGGAAAUAGCGCCGGCCCAACCCCCAGCUUUUUCAAAUGAGGAAAGGGAAAUCCAAAGGAUGGCAACCACGCCUGAAUAGAGGCUCCUGCCUAUAGGCCCAGCGAUUGGGAGGAGGAGGCAGCAGGAUUGCUUCAAGUUCCAGACCAGCCUGCACUAACUUCACAGUGAAACAAGCCAGGUCUAAAACAAGACAAGACAAAACAAAAGAGCCUGCAGGGGGGGAUGACACACGACAGGGACAACUCUGCCUCAAUCCUGCUUGCUCCUUUCUGGGUUUUUCUAACCAUUUUGAAAAAGAAUGGAAAAGAAAAUUUUCUUUGAUGGCACUCAUUCCUUAUCCUGCCCCCUUGUUUUUGACAAGUCACACCCGGCAACAGAG
rnacentral:lncRNA from 1 species